GCGCGAGGAGAGCCACUUAAUCAAUCAACCUAGGGGUUCAACGUAAUUUCACAGUUGACGGUGCCGUUAGGGUGAAAAUGUUUUACAGCCCUCCUCGUCAUCCAUCCCAAUCGAAUUGAAGUUCAUUCCAUCCUUUCCUCUCCAAACCCCUCUUCUCAGACCCAAAAUCACUUCUCUCUCCUGUCGCCACUGGACUUGAUAACCAAGGUCCCCAAAGCCGAAAAUUCAGCUUUAUCAUUGAGGUAGAAACGAGGGAGUAAUCCUAUUCUCGCCUCCGCCGAAAAACCAAGAUUGGAUUCACAAAAACACAAGAUUGGGAGGUCAUCAACCAAGCCUGGAGCUGAUUCCAAGCAGAAAUCUGUUCACACUGUCACAAAAACUGAGGUUAGAUAUGUCUACUCACAUUCGGGGAUUUUGAAGCAACUGUAUGAAGUUUAAUGAGAGUAAAGAAUGGACUCAGAGAGAGUCUUGAUCUUCUAGCAUCCCAUUCGAUCCACUAGACUAGUUUCACUGGAAGGGUUCCAAAAUUGUGCCUUCGAAGUUCAUAUAAAAUGCGUACUAAAUGCAAUAGAGUGAUGCGAUUUCUGUAUGUGGAAUUGCUUUGGAAGGAACAACUUGGACAAACCGGGGGACUUCUAUUUGUCAAGUCACCGCCAGUGAUUUCCAGAAGUCCUUAUUACAAGGCUUCGGUUUGUACAGUUGGUGCCUUGAUAGCCCUAAUACUUGUAUAAUAUGUGAUAUUGUUCGUGGGCAAUGUUUCGUGGUUAACGGUAUCCAGAUACUUGCGGUGAGGUGAAGCUCGGAUCGGAGUUGGAUGAAGGUGGUGGUUGGGUCAAGGAUUGGUGGCCAUCAUCAGUUUCGGUGGUUCCUGCAAGGACGCAAACUCGAAAUGGGCCUGGACUUGGUGGUACUUGGGCCUGGGCGUUUGCCAUCGGCUUGGGUUUUUUUGUUUUUACUUAUUUUGAAUUUUUUUUUUUUUUUUUUAUGAAUGGUUUUGUGAUAAUUUAUUUUAAUAAACUACACUUUGUUAUCUCAAAUUUGUCCAUGACAAAAAAAAAUGGAAAAAUUAUGAAAUUAAGCUCUCUAAGUGGACAUUGAACCGUUGUAGGAAUAAUUUUUUUCCAGAUUUUGUAUAUAAGUCAAAGCUAGAGCUUAUGCGAGAUGGUCAUGAACAAGGUCCAGAUAGAUUGGAAACUUGUGUUUUAUUGUU